rnacentral:SRP_RNA from 1 species
CCGUGAUGCGGGAGCCAAUAUUUUUGAAUCAUGCGCUCCUCGCUUGGGUGUCUUGCCGUGCCGCCUUGUGGACGCCCGUCCCCCAGGGGAGGGCAGUCGUGCGAGGCAUGCCAGGAG